AGUGAACGCUGGCGGUAGGCCUAACACAUGCAAGUCGAACGGCAGCACAGUAAGAGCUUGCUCUUACGGGUGGCGAGUGGCGGACGGGUGAGGAAUACAUCGGAAUCUACUUUUUCGUGGGGGAUAACGUAGGGAAACUUACGCUAAUACCGCAUACGACCUACGGGUGAAAGCAGGGGAUCUUCGGACCUUGCGCGAUUGAAUGAGCCGAUGUCGGAUUAGCUAGUUGGCGGGGUAAAGGCCCACCAAGGCGACGAUCCGUAGCUGGUCUGAGAGGAUGAUCAGCCACACUGGAACUGAGACACGGUACAGACUCCUACGGGAGGCAGCAGUGGGGAAUAUUGGACAAUGGGCGCAAGCCUGAUCCAGCCAUACCGCGUGAGUGAAGAAGGCCUUCGGGUUGUAAAGCCCUUUUGUUGGGAAAGAAAAGCAGCAGGUUAAUACCCCGCUGUUCUGACGGUACCCAAAGAAUAAGCACCGGCUAACUUCGUG
rnacentral:rRNA from 1 species